rnacentral:sRNA from 1 species
UUUGCUCGAAUGUUUCUUCUUGUCCUUCGUUAAUAUAUAAAUGAUUUAACACACAUAA